rnacentral:rRNA from 1 species
UGGGGAAUAUUGGACAAUGGGCGAAAGCCUGAUCCAGCCAUGCCGCGUGUGUGAAGAAGGCCUUUUGGUUGUAAAGCACUUUAAGUGGGGAGGAAAAGCUUGUGGUUAAUACCCAUAAGCCCUGACGUUACCCACAGAAUAAGCACCGGCUAACUCUGUGCCAGCAGCCGCGGUAAUACAGAGGGUGCAAGCGUUAAUCGGAAUUACUGGGCGUAAAGCGCGCGUAGGUGGUUAUUUAAGUCAGAUGUGAAAGCCCCGGGCUUAACCUGGGAACUGCAUCUGAUACUGGAUAACUAGAGUAGGUGAGAGGGGAGUAGAAUUCCAGGUGUAGCGGUGAAAUGCGUAGAGAUCUGGAGGAAUACCGAUGGCGAAGGCAGCUCCCUGGCAUCAUACUGACACUGAGGUGCGAAAGCGUGGGUAGCAAACAGGAUUAGAUACCCUGGUAGUCCACGCCGUAAACGAUGUCUACCAGUCGUUGGGUCUUUUAAAGACUUAGUGACGCAGUUAACGCAAUAAGUAGACUGCCUGGGGAGUACGGCCGCAAGGUUA